rnacentral:rRNA from 1 species
UACGUAGGGUGCGAGCGUUGUCCGGAAUUACUGGGCGUAAAGGGCGCGUAGGCGGCCUACUAAGUCAGACGUGAAAUCCCUGGGCUCAACCCAGGAACUGCGUCCGAUACUGGCAGGCUUGAAUCCGGGAGAGGGAUGCGGAAUUCCAGGUGUAGCGGUGAAAUGCGUAGAUAUCUGGAGGAAUACCGGUGGCGAAGGCGGCAUCCUGGACCGGCAUUGACGCUGAGGAGCGAAAGCCAGGGGAGCAAACGGG